rnacentral:misc_RNA from 1 species
GAUGAAGAACGCAGCGAAAUGCGAUAAGUAAUGUGAAUUGCAGAAUUCAGUGAAUCAUCGAAUCUUUGAACGCAUCUUGCGCUCCUUGGUAUUCCUUGGAGCAUGCCUGUUUGAGUAUCAUGAGCAAACCUCAAAGUCAAUUCCUUUUGUUAAUUCAAUUGGUUUUGCUUUGGACUUGGAGGUCUUGCAGAUUUCACAGUCUGCUCCUCUUAAAUGCAUUAGCUGGAUCUCAGUAAUUAUGCUUGGUUCCACUCGGCGUGAUAAGUAUCACUCGCUGAGGACACUGUUAAAAAGGUGGCCAGGAAAAUACUGAUUGAACCGCUUCUAACGGUCUAUUAAGUUAGACAAUUACCCUUAAGUUUGAACUCAAAUCAGGUAGGACUACCCGCUGAACUUAAGCAUAUCAAUAAGCGGAGGA